ACAGUCACACAUUAGAUACCCGCGUAGUCCCAGCCCUAAACGAUGCUCGCUAGGUGUCAGGCAUGGCGCGACCGUGUCUGGUGCCGCAGGGAAGCCGUGAAGCGAGCCACCUGGGAAGUACGGCCGCAAGGCUGAAACUUAAAGGAAUUGGCGGGGGAGCACAACAACGGGUGGAGCCUGCGGUUUAAUUGGACUCAACGCCGGGAAGCUCACCGGAUAAGACAGCGGAAUGAUUGCCGGGCUGAAGACUCUGCAUGACUAGCUG
rnacentral:rRNA from 1 species